GAUGAACGCUGGCGGCGUGCUUAACACAUGCAAGUCGAACGAAGCACUUUAAUCGAUUUCUUCGGAUUGAAAUUUUAGUGACUGAGUGGCGGACGGGUGAGUAACGCGUGGGUAACCUGCCUCACACAGGGGGAUAACAGUUGGAAACGGCUGCUAAUACCGCAUAAGCGCACAGUACCGCAUGGUACGGUGUGAAAAACUCCGGUGGUGUGAGAUGGACCCGCGGCUGAUUAGCUAGUUGGCAGGGCAGCGGGCUACCAAGGCGACGAUCAGUAGCCGGCCUGGGAGGGUGACCGGCCACAUUGGGACUGAGACACGGCCCAAACUCCUACGGGAGGCAGCUGUGGGGAAUAUUGCACAAUGGGGGAAACCCUGAUGCAGCGACGCCGCGUGAGCGAAGAAGUAUUUCGGUAUGUAAAGCUCUAUCAGCAGGGAAGAAGAAAUGACGGUACCUGACUAAGAAGCACCGGCUAAAUACGUGCCAGCCGCCGCAGUAA
rnacentral:rRNA from 1 species